AUUGAACGCUGGCGGCAUGCCUUACACAUGCAAGUCGAACGGCAGCACGGGGGCAACCCUGGUGGCGAGUGGCGAACGGGUGAGUAACAUAUCGGAACAUACCCUAGAGUGGGGGAUAACGUAGCGAAAGUUACGCUAAUACCGCAUACGAUCUAAGGAUGAAAGUGGGGGAUCUUCGGACCUCAUGCUCAUGGAGUGGCCGAUAUCUGAUUAGCUAGUUGGUGAGGUAAAGGCUCACCAAGGCGACGAUCAGUAGCUGGUUUGAGAGAACGACCAGCCACACUGGAACUGAGACACGGUCCAGACUCCUACGGAGGCAGCAGUGGGGAAUUUUGGACAAUGGGCGAAAGCCUGAUCCAGCAAUGCCGCGUGUGUGAAGAAGGCCUUAGGGUUGUAAAGCACUUUCAGUCGGGAGGAAAAACCUGAUGUUAAUAGCUUCAGGCUUGACGCUACCGACAGAAGAAGCACCGGCUAACUCUGUGCCAGCAGCCGACGG
rnacentral:rRNA from 1 species